AUACGGAGGGUGCAAGCGUUACUCGGAAUCACUGGGCGUAAAGCGCGCGCAGGCGGCUAUUUAAGUUGGAUGUGAAAGCCUACGGCUCAACCGUAGAACUGCAUCCAAAACUAUUUAGCUAGAGUGUGGGAGAGGAAGAUGGAAUUAGAUGUGUAGGGGUAAAAUCCGUAGAGAUAACUAGGAAUACCAAAAGCGAAGGCAAUCUUCUGGAACACUACUGACGCUGAGGCGCGAAAGCGUGGGGAACAAACAGGAUUAGAAACCCUAGUAGUCC
rnacentral:rRNA from 1 species